AGAACAUUUUUCUAAAUUUUAUUUUCUUCCACAAUAGGGCUCAUUUAUGAAGAAAGUCCUAAGUGCAAGGUCCAACAUUAUUACUCAAUCUGUGAUGUUUUUUUACCCACAGUGUUAUUUUACAGACUCUAAAGUUACUGCAAAGUAGUUGUAGGGACCCAUAGGGUUAAUGUGCCUCUAUGGCUUUAAACACUACCUUUCCUUUCUUCUUGUCACUAGGCAGGGAUUGAUGUAUCUAUUUGGUAUUACCAUAUACCUUAUUAUUGGCCCAAGGCUAGACCACACCCUGCCACACUUUAAUAUGGUGUUAGGAGAGGGGUGGUUCUUUCUUCUUGGCCUGCAGCAUCUGACGUAUGUGAAUGUCUCCCAGAAACUGGGAUCCACAAGGCCCAGAAGGUUCCGACCGAAGGGGACCAGUACCCUUAGUGAAGUUGGGGCGCAGGGAUCCCGUGAACGAGGGACACAGAAGUGCCAGGGAAUAGGCCCAACUUAUGGUGCCCAAACUCUAUAUGAGAGGGAGAAACCGUUGGACACCAAACUUCAACUGUUAGAUCUGCUUUAACAUCAAUUGUAUUGCUGAAAUCCUGUUAUACCUCCUCAAGGGGACACAGAAGUGCCAGGGAAUAGGCCCAACUUACGGUGCCCAAACUCUAUAUGAGAGGGAGAAACCGAUGGACACCAUACUUCAACUGUUAGAUCUGCUUUAACAUCAAUUGUAUUGCUGAAAUCCUGUUAUACCUCCUCAAGGCUUUAGGCAGAGUUUUAUGAUUUGGCCAUCUGAUGAAAACAGUCUCUUUGAAAGUUCAUGGUCCAACACCAGUUCUACAUGCCUUCAUGGUCCAACACCAGUUCUACAUGCCUUCAUGGUCCAACACCAGUUCUACUUGCCUUCAUGGUCCAACACCAGUUCUACUUGCCUUCAUGGUCCAACACCAGUUCUACAUGCCUUCAUGGUCCAACACCAGUUCUACUUGCCUUCAUGGUCCAACACCAGUUCUACAUGCCUUCAUGGUCCAACACCAGUUCUACAUGCCUUCAUGGUCCAA